GGGCGUAUGGCUGAGUGGUUUAAAGCGUUAGUCUUGAACACUAAUAUGUAAAAUUUUUAUAUCGUGGGUUCGAAUCCUGCUACGUCUA
rnacentral:tRNA from 1 species